rfam:Bacteroides pectinophilus CAG:437 genomic scaffold, scf42
AUUACAAGUAAUGAACUGCCGAAGACAGCUAGGUCCCGCAAGGGUCAAAGGUAACACGCCUGCCGAGGAAUCAAUCAAAUCAUUAGUGUUUGAGAUUAUAGCCUCGUCUGUGUGCAGACGGGGCUUUUCUUAUAAUGUC